AGUGAACGCUGGCGGUAGGCCUAACACAUGCAAGUCGAACGGCAGCACAGUAAGAGCUUGCUCUUACGGGUGGCGAGUGGCGGACGGGUGAGGAAUACAUCGGAAUCUACUUUUUCGUGGGGGAUAACGUAGGGAAACAUACGCUAAUACCGCAUACGACCUACGGGUGAAAGCAGGGGAUCUUCGGACCUUGCGCGAUUGAAUGAGCCGAUGUCGGAUUAGCUAGUUGGCGGGGUAAAGGCCCACCAAGGCGACGAUCCGUAGCUGGUCUGAGAGGAUGAUCAGCCACACUGGAACUGAGACACGGUCCAGACUCCUACGGGAGGCAGCAGUGGGGAAUAUUGGACAAUGGGCGCAAGCCUGAUCCAGCCAUACCGCGUGGGUGAAGAAGGCCUUCGGGUUGUAAAGCCCUUUUGUUGGGAAAGAAAAGCAGCAGGUUAAUACCCCGCUGUUCUGACGGUACCCAAAGAAUAAGCACCGGCUAACUUCGU
rnacentral:rRNA from 1 species